rnacentral:rRNA from 1 species
UGUGGGACGAAAUUAUUGACGGUACCACAUGAAUAAGGGGCUCCUAACUCUGUGCCAGCAGGAGCGGUAAUACAGAGGCCCCAAGCAUUAUCCGGAAUCAUUGGGCGUAAAGGGUGUCAAGGCGGUCAUGUUAGUCGUUCGUUAAAUCCAGGAGCUCAACUUCUGGCCUGCGAGCGAAACGGCAUGACUAGAGGUCUGAAGAGGUGCGUGGAACUCACGGUGUAGGGGUGAAAUCCGUUGAUAUCGU